GGGAAUUUUCCGCAAUGGGCGAAAGCCUGACGGAGCAAUGCCGCGUGGAGGUGGAAGGCCUACGGGUCGUCAACUUCUUUUCUCGGAGAAGAAACAAUGACGGUAUCUGAGGAAUAAGCAUCGGCUAACUCUGUGCCUG
rnacentral:rRNA from 1 species